UACGGAGGGUGCGAGCGUUGUCCGGAAUCACUGGGCGUAAAGGGCGCGUAGGCGGCGCGGGGAGUCAACGGUGAAAGCUCGGCGCUCAACGCCGAGUCGGCCGUCGAUACUCCCGUGCUCGAGCACUGUAGAGGCAGGUGGAAUUCCGGGUGUAGCGGUGGAAUGCGUAGAGAUCCGGAAGAACACCGGUGGCGAAGGCGGCCUGCUGGGGAGUAGCUGGACGCUGAGGCGCGACAGCGUGGGGAGCAAACGAGGAUUAGAAACCCGUAGGUAAGAUC
rnacentral:rRNA from 1 species